rnacentral:rRNA from 1 species
UGGGGAAUAUUGGACAAUGGGCGCAAGCCUGAUCCAGCCAUGCCGCGUGAGUGAUGAAGGCCUUCGGGUUGUAAAGCUCUUUUAGCGGGGAAGAUAAUGACGGUACCCGCAGAAAAAGCCCCGGCUAACUUCGUGCCAGCAGCCGCGGUAAUACGAAGGGGGCUAGCGUUGCUCGGAAUUACUGGGCGUAAAGCGCACGUAGGCGGACUCUUAAGUCGGUGGUGAAAUCCUGGAGCUCAACUCCAGAACUGCCUUCGAUACUGGGAGUCUUGAGUUCGGGAGAGGUGAGUGGAACUGCUUGUGUAGAGGUGAAAUUCGUAGAUAUUCGCAAGAACACCAGUGGCGAAGGCGGCUCACUGGCCCGAUACUGACGCUGAGGUGCGAAAGCGUGGGGAGCAAACA